AUUGAACGCUGGCGGCAGGCCUAACACAUGCAAGUCGAACGAGUGGCGGACGGGUGAGUAAUGUCUGGGAAACUGCCUGAUGGAGGGGGAUAACUACUGGAAACGGUAGCUAAUACCGCAUACCAUCGGAUGUGCCCAGAUGAGAUUAGCUAGUAGGUGGGGUAAAGGCUCACCUAGGCGACGAUCCCUAGCUGGUCUGAGAGGAUGACCAGCCACACUGGAACUGAGCCACGGUCCAGACUCCUACGAGAGGUAGCAGGGGGGAAUAUUGCACAAUGGGAGCAAGCCUGAUGCAGCCAUGCAGCGUGUAUGAAGAAGGCCUUCGGGUGGUAAAGUACUUUCAGCGGGGAGGCGUGACCCGCAGAAGAAGCACCGGCUAACUCCGUGCCAGCAGCCGCGGUAAUUC
rnacentral:rRNA from 1 species